CGGGACGUGGCUCAGUCUGGUAGAGCACUGCGUUCGGGACGCAGGGGCCGCGCGUUCAAAUCGCGCCGUCCCGACCA
rnacentral:tRNA from 1 species